UACGCUUCACUAAACAGGACUCAGAGCGUAAAAAAAACGAGGGGGGUCUCCAUGUCCUUUGUCCUUUGUCAUACAAUACGAGGUAACGAGAAACACAAACAAUCAACAGGUCCGCCAUUGUCAUUAGUUGGAACAUGACGUCUGUUCCGCACAAUGUGAUUGGAUGAUGCUUUUAUUCGCAGUUCUAGUGUUAAUGUACUCAUGACAAAAACAACAGUAUGAAAAAAUAUAUUGAUGUGUGAAUUACACAAAAAAAAACUUUAGGGUGUCAUUCCUAUAAUAUUAGUUUGGUGUGUUUGUACAGUGUGUCUGGGGUAUGUAGCACUGAGUUUAUAGUGGCCUCAACAAAAGUUAUCUUUGAUUUUUAUCUCCUAUGGUUUUAUUGCAAUCUGUAGGGUUUAAAAGUGUGUCUGUGCUGUCUAAUGUCGAGUUUAUAGUGGCUUUAUUUAAAUUUUUGGUGACUUUAUCUUCGUCGUAUGACUUUGACUUGAUUGUAGCUGCUGUCAUUUAAAACGUUUUUGUGAUUUUUCUCUAUAGCAACUUUCUAAAAUGGAUUACAGGGUUAUUAUAGUCCUUAUUAGAGCUAAUAAAAACAUGUAAGAGUGUAUUUAUUUAGUGUUUAUUCAGCCUACAGAUUGCAUUCCCACAGUCCAAGUAAUAUAUAGAGCUUAUAAAGAGCCAGGCUAGCUGUUUCCUCCUGCCUCCUGUAUUUAUGCUAGGUUUCCAUACUUAGAGUUUAUUACAACUUUGGUCUCAUUUUCUAAGUUUCUAGUGGUAAUAUCAACAUUGUACUCACCAAGAAGUGCUGCAGUUUAAGAAACAUGAGAAGUCAGGCACUAGUACAGGCUGUUAACAAACCCCCCGGUUAGCCAGACUGGUGUGGAAGCGAAAAUGUAAGUGAACGGGCAACAGACAACUUUCUGAUUCAACUUUGACCUACUGUACUUGCUGUAGUUGUGUGUGCACAGUUUUCUUGCGUAAUGAUGGAUUAAUAGUAACAUUACACUUGCACUCACCUUCAAUUUUAACUCCAAAUAAAGUGGUUUAGAUAAUCUGGCUAAACUGCUGCUUGUCUGACCACUCAUGUUUCUUGUCCCUGUUAUAUUUUGCUGUCUUCUUGUUCCCAGAUCUCAGCUAUUACGUGAGUGAACAUGUCAUUAUCAUAACAGAACAAUGUUACAUAAAUAAACCCCAAGCUCUAAUAAACUGGAAUCAUCGUUUAAAGCACAGUCAUAAGAUUAAUAACAAUUUCCCCAUCUCAUUCUCAGGAAGAAGCAGUCACCACUUUCUAAUAAGGCUACAAGUUCAUGAAUGGGAGAGAGAGAAGCGGAGAGUCCUGGAGUGCAAGAACAUGUGGAAGAUUUUCAUUUUUUUUAAAUCAUUAAUCAAGCAACAAGACUAACAGUCUACAGCCGCUGUGAGGAUGCACUGUGCUUAGGUACAGCGGUGCUUUGAGGAAAAUGGCAAAGUCAGCAUGCUAACAUGCUCCCAGUGACAAUGCUAACAUGCUGAUGUUUAACAGUCUGAACUGAAGAGGUGGACUGACUGACUGAGUGACUGACAUUGCCAUCCCUAGAGGCUGUCAGUGGUUCCAGCCUCUCAAAUGUAAGCAUUUCUGUUUUUUGUUUUGUUUUGUUUCUCAGUUUUAUUUCAUUGUGACUGUGAUAUCUUUAUUGGUAAGUAGUCUGGAGCUUUCAAUAAUAUCACAUGAACAUCAUGAGCUCGUAGAGUUUUCCCAGUUGUCAUUACUUUUGAGGUGUUCAAAUUUCCAUUAUUUAUGAGCAUAUUAAAGACUUGUUGUGCAUGUUGGCUUAAACGCUGUGGUUCAGAGUUUAUUUUCAACCCUGUAAACAGCAGUUGGGAAAAUUGUUUCACUGAAUUUAAUAGCUGUUUUGGAUCUUUUAAUCACAUGAUCUCAUCACAAGGUUGAUGCGGUAACUUUUUUGGAGCUUUCGAUCAUAUCACAUGUACUUCAUCAGAAGAUGGAGUUUGUAGAUGUCAAAUUUAAAUCUUUUCUAAGCACAU